rnacentral:lncRNA from 1 species
ACUCGGAGAAGAGCCAGGUGUCGCUGUGGUCCUCUACAAAUGCGCCGCCGCCGCACUCCUCGGCCUUAUAGGUUCCAGGAAAGCCCCGCCUAAGACGGAUCUUGGCCUCUCCUCAUCCCUUCCAGGUCCCUCUGAAGAUAUAUUUAUCAAGAUGUCUGUUUUGGAAUGAACGAGUGGAGGAGGGGAUGGAAAGAUGAUCUACUUUAUGUGGUCCAUGCAGUUUCCUUAGGCAAUUUUCACCAGUGAAAUUGACCAAUUCAUCAACUGCUCACCAGGCACCGGGGAAGUCACAGUCAGACCUACAUUCGCCUUCAAAUAACAUUCUCAGGUUAGGAACUGGCCAUGACUAAAAGAGCAGAGCUGUAGAAACAUUGGGAGCAUGACCUGUGUACUCAAGUGAAAACCACAGUGUCAAGAAGGAAGCGUUGACACUCAGUGAACAUGCUAAAAACCAAUGAUGAAGCUGGGAUUCUGCAGCCACCAACCCACCAGAACUGCUCAUCCAAGGUUACUGCUGACCACCGUCUUGCCGGAUCCAGAGGCCACUUCGAUGUCUGUAUCAGACUCAGCUUCUCUGCAGUUGGUCAGUUUCCUUCCAACGGCGUUUUCAGCACUUGGAUUCCAAGUUACUUCACUGUAAGUUUCCACUCACCUCAUCGUCGGCUGCUCCUUCUCAGUCUUCUUGACUGAACAUUCCCUAUCCUCUGUCUUCUAAAUGUCAGAGCCCUAAAAUCAAGCCUCAGUCCUCUUCUCUGUCCAUCAUCUUUCCCUAGAUGUUAUGAAAGAGGUGAUAAGUCACCCAUUUGUCUCAUCAGCCCCUACCUGUCCCUUGAGCUCUAGGCUCAAAUAUUCAAUGGCCCAGAACAUUUUCUCUGGCCACCCAAAGAGCAUUUUAAACUCAAUAUGUCUGAAACCCCAUGCUCUAGUGUCCCAUUACAUUUAGAAUGAAAUUCACGUUUCUCAUACCUGCUCUCAAGUUCCCUCAUUACCCUUCUGACCUCAUCUCUUUUUGCUGCUCCCUCCCUCACCACUGCAGCCACUCUGCUGGUCCUCUGCAUACACCUGUGAUGGCCUUUACCCUUACUCUUCCUUCUGCCUCUACUACAAGUCACUGGUUAGAGCUUCACAGAGCCUAUUUGUUCCUUUACAUCACUCCAGGCUUGGCUCAGAAUUCACCUUCCUGAGAGGCUUUUCUUGACAGUGUCUCCAUAUCAUUCUCCUGAAGUUUGUAGAACUCAGGACCCUCAGGUUAUACUAAUAACAUUUUAAUAAGCUCAUACUAUAUGGAGUUCCGGUCAUGGUGCAGUGGUUAAUGAAUCCGACUAGGAACCAUGAGGUUGCGGGUUCGGUCCCUGCCCUUGCUCAGUGGGUUAACGAUCCGGCGUUGCUGUGAGCUGUGGUGUAGGUUGCAGACGUGGCUCGGAUCUCACGUUGCUGUGGCUCUGGUGUAGGCCGGCAGCUACAGCUCUGAUUCGACCCCUAGCCUGGGAACCUCCAUAUUCCAAGGGAAGCGGCCCUGGAAAUGGCAAAAAGAUGAAAAAAUAAAUAAGCUCAUACUAUAGUGCCAAGCAUUACAUGAAAUAUUGACAUGCAUGAUUGCAUUUAAUCCUCAGAAUCACUGGGUGAGACAUUUUUAUCAUCCUCCUUUUGCAGGUGAGGAAACUGAGGCUAAGAAAGGUCCAACCCAAAACCUUUGCACUAAGAUCUGAUUCUGGAACCAGUGGUCUUAACCAUUCAAUUCAGUGGUUUCUCACUUUAAAUACUAUUCUUUUUUGCUUUUUUUUUUUUUUUUAGGGCUACAGUUGCACCAUAUGGAAGUUGCUGGGCUAGGGGCCGAACUAGAGCUACAGCUACUGGCCUACACCACAGAUCCGAGCUGUGUCUGCCAAGUACACCAUAGCUCAAGGCAACGCUGGAUCCCCGACCCGCUGAGCGGGGCCAGGGGUGGAACUGUGUCCUCUUGGAUCCCGGUUGGGUUCAUUACCACUGAGCCACAACAGGAACUCCUAAAUGCUGUUCUUAAUUAUGAACAAUAUGGCUUCCAGUUUACCUUCCAGGAUUAAUUAGUUUGAAUUGCACUUGUGUUUGAGCAGGUAAAAUAACUCCAGGAUAUCAGUGUGUACUAGGGAGGGGCUUAUUUUCCAAACUCUGGUUUUAAACAUUCAGAUAAUACAAAAUACAGGUUUCAUAGAGUCAAAUUCAAACAUGGACCUAGACCACCUCUGUGGUUCUUGCUUAUGAUUUAUUAAAGAAAAUGAGGGUAUUUUGCUCUGAACUUUGUUGUUUGGGUGGCUCAAAUUCUCAGAAGCAAUUAAUGCUUUUAAACUUUAAUUUAAAAAAAAAUCCUAGAAUUCCCAUCGUGGCUCAUUGGUUAACAAAUUUGACUAGGAACCAUGAGGUUGCAGGUUCGAUCCCUGGCCUCUCUCAGUGGGUUAAGGAUCUGGUGUUGCUUUGAGCUGUGGUGUAGGUCGAAUACAUGGCUCAGAUCCCGUGUUGCUGUGGCUCUGGUGUAGGCCGGGUGGCUACAGCUCUGAUUAGACCCCUCGCCUGGGAACCUCCAUGUGCCGCGGAUGCAGCCCUAGAAAAGACAAAAAAAAAAAAAAAAAA